UGGGGAAUAUUGCACAAUGGGCGCAAGCCUGAUGCAGCCAUGCCGCGUGUGUGAAGAAGGCCUUCGGGUUGUAAAGCACUUUCAGCGAGGAGGAAGGUGGUGGACUUAAUACGCUCAUCAAUUGACGUUACUCGCAGAAGAAGCACCGGCUAACUCCGUGCCAGCAGCCGCGGUAAUACGGAGGGUGCAAGCGUUAAUCGGAAUUACUGGGCGUAAAGCGCACGCAGGCGGUUUGUUAAGUCAGAUGUGAAAUCCCCGGGCUCAACCUGGGAACUGCAUUUGAAACUGGCAAGCUAGAGUCUCGUAGAGGGGGGUAGAAUUCCAGGUGUAGCGGUGAAAUGCGUAGAGAUCUGGAGGAAUACCGGUGGCGAAGGCGGCCCCCUGGACGAAGACUGACGCUCAGGUGCGAAAGCGUGGGGCAGCAAACAGGAUUAGAUACCCUGGUAGUCCACGCUGUAAACGAUGUCGAUUUUGGAGGUUGUGCCCUUGAGGCGUGGCUUCCGGAGCUAACGCGUUAAAUCGACCGCCUGGGGAGUACGGCCGCAAGGUUAAAACUCAAAGGAAUUGACGGGGUCUAGCUG
rnacentral:rRNA from 1 species